AUCGUACCCCAAACCGACACAGGUGGUCAGGUAGAGAAUACCAAGGCGCUUGAGAGAACUCGGGUGAAGGAACUAGGCAAAAUGGUGCCGUAACUUCGGGAGAAGGCACGCUGAUAUGUAGGUGAAGUCCCUGCGGAUGGAGCUGAAAUCAGUCGAAGAUACCAGCUGGCUGCAACUGUUUAUUAAAAACACAGCACUGUGCAAACACGAAAGUGGACGUAUACGGUGUGACGCCUGCCCGGUG
rnacentral:rRNA from 1 species